rnacentral:rRNA from 1 species
AGGAUGAACGCUGGCGGCGUGCCUAACACAUGCAAGUCGAACGUCCUGUCUCGCAAGAGGCAGGGAGUGGCGGACGGGUGAGUACCACGUGGGUCAUCUACCGUGAGGUGAGGAAUACCGGCGAGAAAUCGCCGACAAGACCGCAUAGGCUCGAUGCAAGUCGAGCAAAGCUCUUUCGAGAGAGGGAGCGCCACACGAGGAGCCUGCGCCCGAUUAGCUAGCUGGUGGAGUAACGGUUCACCAGGGCGACGAUCGGUAGCUGGUCUGAGAGGACGAUCAGCCACACUGGGAUUGAGAACGGCCCAGACUCCUACGGGGGGCAGCAGUGAGGAAUUUUCGUCAAUGGGGGCAACCCCUGAACGAGCAACGCGCGUGCAGGAGAAGGUUUUCGGAUCGUAAACUGCUUUUCUCGGGGAAGAGAAUGGACGGUACCCGAGGAAUCAGCCCCGGCUAACUACGUGCCAGCAGCCGCGGU